rnacentral:rRNA from 1 species
GACGAACGCUGGCGGCGUGCCUAAUACAUGCAAGUCGAGCGGACCUCUUCGGAGGUCAGCGGCGGACGGGUGAGUAACACGUGGGCAACCUGCCUGUAAGACUGGGAUAACUCCGGGAAACCGGAGCUAAUACCGGAUAUUAUGUCAGAUCGCAUGGUCUGACAUUCAAAGACGGUUUCGGCUGUCACUUACAGACGGGCCCGCGGCGCAUUAGCUAGUUGGUGAGGUAACGGCUCACCAAGGCAACGAUGCGUAGCCGACCUGAGAGGGUGAUCGGCCACACUGGGACUGAGACACGGCCCAGACUCCUACGGGAGGCAGCAGUAGGGAAUCUUCCGCAAUGGACGAAAGUCUGACGGAGCAACGCCGCGUGAGUGAUGAAGGUUUUCGGAUCGUAAAACUCUGUUGUCAGGGAAGAACAAGUGCCGAAGUAACUGCCGGCGCCUUGACGGUACCUGACCAGAAAGCCACGGCUAACUACGUGCCAGCCGCCGCGGUAA